rnacentral:rRNA from 1 species
GAGUUUGAUCGUGGCUCAGAACGAACGCUGGCGGCAGGCCUAACACAUGCAAGUCGAACGCUGUAGCAAUACAGAGUGGCAGACGGGUGAGUAACGCGUGGGAACCUUCCCAAUGGUGCGGAAUAGCCCAGGGAAACUUGGGGUAAUACCGCAUAAGCCCUUAGGGGGAAAGAUUUAUCGCCAUUGGAUGGGCCCGCGUCGGAUUAGCUAGUUGGUGAGGUAAUGGCUCACCAAGGCAACGAUCCGUAGCUGGUUUGAGAGAAUGACCAGCCACACUGGGACUGAGACACGGCCCAGACUCCUACGGGAGGCAGCAGUGGGGAAUCUUGGGCAAUGGGCGCAAGCCUGAUCCAGCCAUGCCGCGUGAGUGACGAAGGCCUUAGGGUUGUAAAGCUC